UACGUAGGCAGCAAGCGUUGUUCGGAGUUACUGGGCGUAAAGGGCGUGUAGGCGGUUGGAUAAGUGUGGUGUGAAAUCUCCCGGCUCAACUGGGAGGGUGCGCUACAAACUGUCUGACUAGAGUGUGGGAUGGGAAAGUGGAAUUCCUGGUGUAGCGGUGAAAUGCGUAGAUAUCAGGAGGAACACCGGUGGUGUAGACGGCUUUCUGGGCCAUAACUGACGCUGAGACACGAAAGCGUGGGUAGCAAACAGG
rnacentral:rRNA from 1 species